UGCAAGGUGGCGCUUUUCCUGCGCAAAGGACUUGCGCAAUACAUCAAAACAUCUCAUCAGGGAAAGUGGUUCCCGGAGCGAUCGAUUCCCACAACCGUGAGCUCUGUUUCCUUCCAGCUUUCUUCUGACCUCAGCUCGUAAUUGGUCAGCUUUUGGAGAGGUGGUGUCAGGACCGCAGUCCAGAAUCUAUAGUCAUCACAUCAAAGAAAGAACUUGUGACAACAUAGCAGGACAGAAAGAGGAAUGAGGAAAGGAAACAACGAUACAAGGAUAGAAAUGAAAGAAAGACAGGGAAAUGACAGAAGGUA